UACGUAGGGCGCAAGCGUUGUCCGGAAUUAUUGGGCGUAAAGCGCGCGCAGGCGGUCCUUUAAGUCUGAUGUGAAAGCCCACGGCUCAACCGUGGAGGGUCAUUGGAAACUGGGAGACUUAGUGCAGAAGAGGAAAGUGGAAUUCCAUGUGUAGCGGUGAAAUGCGUAGAGAUAUGGAGGAACACCAGUGGCGAAGCGACUUUCUGGUCUGUAACUGACACUGAGGCGCGAAAGCGUGGGGAGCAAACAGG
rnacentral:rRNA from 1 species